rnacentral:rRNA from 1 species
UACGAAGGGUGCAAACGUUGCUCGGAAUUAUUGGGCGUAAAGCGCACGUAGGCGGCUUUGCAAGUCGGAUGUGAAAGCCCUCGGCUUAACCGAGGAAGUGCAUCCGAAACUGCAGAGCUUGAGUACUUAAGAGGAUCGCGGAAUUCCCGGUGUAGAGGUGAAAUUCGUAGAUAUCGGAGGAACACCAGUGGCGAAGGCGGCGAUCUGGGAAGAUACUGACGCUGAGGUGCGAAAGCGUGGGAGCA